CUACGUGCCAGCAGCCGCGGUAAUACGUAGGUGGCGAGCGUUGUCCGGAAUGAUUGGGCGUAAAGGGAGCGCAGGUGGGACGGUAAGUCCUUCUUAAAAGCGUGGGGCUCAGCCCCAUGAAGGGAAGGAAACUAUCGAUCUUGAGUGCCGGAGAGGAAAGCGGAAUUCCCAGUGUAGCGGUGAAAUGCGUAGAUAUUGGGAAGAACACCAGUGGCGAAGGCGGCUUUCUGGACGGCAACUGACACUGAGGCUCGAAAGCCAGGGGAGCGAACGGGAUUAGAUACCCCGGUAGUCCUGGCCGUAAACGAUGGAUACUAGGUGUAGGAGGUAUCGACCCCUUCUGUGCCGGAGUUAACGCAAUAAGUAUCCCGCCUGGGGAGUACGGUCGCAAGACUGAAACUCAAAGGAAUUGACGGGGGCCCGCACAAGCGGUGGAGUAUGUGGUUUAAUUCGACGCAACGCGAAGAACCUUACCAGGGCUUGACAU
rnacentral:rRNA from 1 species